rnacentral:rRNA from 1 species
AGAGUUUGAUUAUGGCUCAGGAUGAACGCUGGCGGCGUGCUUAACACAUGCAAGUCGAACGGAGAUAAGAGAAAGCUUGCUUUUCUAUCUAGUGGCGGACGGGUGAGUAACGCGUGGGUAACCUACCCUGUACAGGGGGAUAGCAGUUGGAAACGACUGAUAAAACCGCAUAAAACGGCAGUACCGCAUGGUACAACCGUCAAAUAUUCAUAGGUACAGGAUGGGCCCGCGUCUGAUUAGCUAGUUGGUGGGGCAACGGCCUACCAAGGCGACGAUCAGUAGCCGGCCUGAGAGGGUGAACGGCCACAUUGGGACUGAGACACGGCCCAAACUCCUACGGGAGGCAGCAGUGGGGAAUAUUGGACAAUGGGGGAAACCCUGAUCCAGCGAACCGCCGCGUGAGUGAAGAAGUAUUUCGGUAUGUAAAGCUCUAUCAGCAGGGAAGAUGAUGACGGUACCUGACUAAGAAGCGCCGGCUAAAUACGUGCCAGCCGCUGC